CUCGCGCUCAUACUCAACUCCUUGGUAUUGUCAGUGCUAGACGUGUUAAAUAAUAGAUGCCUUUGUGUAGGACAAGGAAGUAACGGAACAGAUUGAGAAUUUGAGUAUGAAGAAAAAAUAAAGGGUAUCAAACGUUCUAUGGAGGCUAUUAAAUUUUCCGGAUAAGGAACUAAAUUGGACUUGAAAGAAAGAAUUGCAAUUGGAGCUCUCCCACGGCUUGAAGUUUGAUCCGAACAAGGAAACAUCAGAGGAACAUGUACAAUACUGACAGCAGUUUCAGUAGGAAAACUGGUGAAGUCGUUCAAAUGAUCUUCUUGACGCCUGUUACCAGAAAAAUUCAUACCUUUACAAUCAUCAUUAACAGCUGUUUCUGAUACGGACUCUGAAGCAGACUUCUCUGUUGACGAUUCAGUAGCGAAAGAAGAUUCUUGCAAGCAAUUUUGGAAGAAUGGAUUCCUAUUAGGAUCUGUUUGAAUGGAGGGACUAGCAACUGGAGAUCUUGACCAAGGAGAAAGUAAAUUUUGUUCAUACUCAUCAUAAAUGUUUGAAGGUUCUUCCGAAAAAGACGAACUUUGUGCUUUUGAAAUGUCACUUUGGGAAUACGGUUUACGAUUCUGACUGAAAUGUGAAACAAAUGCUCUCUUUUUCUGUGGAUAAAGUCCAUUUAACUGAGCUGCAGAAGCACUAAUUUCAACCUGCUUUUUCAAUUCAUUAAGUUUUUCAUCAUGAAAAACUUUCCAUGAAUUCUUAAUGCUGCGAAUAUCAUCAACAUUAGGUAUAGAACUAAAGUAAUCAUUAUCAUGAACCUUGGUGUUUUUAACAAUGUGCUGUUGUUUACGUGUAUAUACAAGCAAUGUCGCACGCUCCAAGACUGUUUGUACAACUUUGCUAUCAAUAAGCAAAUCCCCUUCAUGUUUAAGAGAAGCUGGAUCUUUGUAUAUAAUACCCUUUGAACCAUCCGAAGCAACUACGGUAACAUAAGAACUGCUAGCAAGGUUGUCAUUAACACUUAUAGGGUUACUAUACGGAUCAUAAUGGGAACCGCCAUCGUAAUAACAUCUGAGUUGCCAAGGAGUAUUGUAUAUGUCAGAAAGGUCACGCGGUUCUACAACAGAUAUUU